CGGUUAAGCAUGAACAAGCUUACGGGUCCUAUCCCUGAUAUGAGUCCAUUGAAAGCCUUGGAAGUUCUACAUCUAGAUGAAAACGAAUUUGAGGGGCCGUUUCCAGAUUCACUAGGCACACUUCCAAACCUUCGUGAAUUAUAUUUAAAUAACAACAAUUUGAGCGGAAGACUUCCGGAAAUUCUAACUAACAGAAAAGGCAUAACAAUACGAACUUAGCGUUAAUUUAUGAGACAUGAUGUGGAUGAUUGCCAAGGGAAGAACACAUAGAGAGACGAACACAAAAAAUAUUUCACUCUUGGUAAAGAGUUAUCAUGAAAUUUAUUGUUAUAUUUAGAAAAAUGGCAACCUACCAACUUAUGUAUUAGUUUUUUUUUUUCGAAAGAGGUAAUUAGUUUUUUUAUUAGUCAUAAUAUUGUAUUUUUUUUACUAGCAUUUUGUCAUAUGAAACUGGUAUAUCGAUAAAGAGGCAUAAAUACAGAAGUUAGAAUGCAGGGUGGGAUUUGAAUAUCAGAAUAUGCAACAACUUCUUUUAGUGACCUUAACUCCAAACUAUUUUCCAUUUGUUGUUUUGACCUAAAAACCAGUGUGAGAGGGAGAAGGGGUGGGGGAAAAUUCUUUACUGUUUUUGUUUUUGGAAGCUUAAAUUUGUGUUUAGGAUAAGUAAAUGAUCAAAUGUUGCGAAGGAAGGUAAGCUUAAAUUUGGAAGCACCCCUGAUCCCAACCCUAAAUUCCCCUAUUUCCCCAUUCUCGAUCCUGCCCCCGAAUUUGAAGAACACCUCGAUCCUGCCCUUGUUUCCCCCAAAUUCCUCGUUAACCUCGUUUGACCCAAAAUCCCCCGUUUAAUGUUAUUUACCGUAUUUUUAACUCGUUUAUUUCAUUUAGUUUUACAUAUUACACUAGUUAUUCAAAUACAAAACAUAUAUUACACAAUCACUACUCUAAGUUUAAUAUUUAAUUUUAUAAAUAAAAUAGUUAAAUAUAAGGUAAUUAUUUCGGGGCCCAUACGGGGUAUUCGGGACGGAACACCCCGCCCCUCAACCCCAAAAACUAAACAGAGGUAAAACUCGUUCUUGAUUCGCCCUCAAACCCGGAAGAAAUUGUAAAAAUACUUCCGUACGGAAACGGGGUCCUACGGGGAUUUUUGACAUCCCUGAUCCUAAGCCUUAUCCUAAAAUCAGUUAAUGAGCAAUCGUAAAUUCAUUUUAUCAAAAAUUAGGGACAAAAC